CCGCGGGGAGGCAGGCCGCCUGCCAGAUGUGGGGCGGAAGGAGCGGGGCCUUGCUCCGCUUGUCGGGGUUAUGGCCGAUAGAGGUGCUCGGAAGGAGACCGCUAAACUGCAGUGCUGCGUCGCUGGCUGGAAGCAGCUCCCCCCGGUGCUGGAACUGCGGCGGCCUAGGGGGCCCCUUGCAGGGGGACCGGUUCUACUGCCCUCAGUGCCGCGCGCUGCAGCCCCCUGACCCCACUCGAGACUACUUCAGCCUCUUGAACUGCAAACGCUCCUUCACAGUUGACACUGCAAAGCUCCAGCAUAGGUACCAGCAACUACAGCGUCUUGUCCACCCAGAUUUCUUCACCCAGAGGUCUCAGACUGAAAAGGACUUCUCAGAGAAGCAUUCGACCCUCAUCAAUGAUGCCUAUAAGACCCUUCUGGCCCCCCUGAGCAGGGGACUAUACCUUCUAAAGCUCCGCGGAGUAGAGAUUCCCGAAGGGACAGAUUGUGAAAUGGACAGUCAAUUCCUCAUGGAAAUAAUGGAAAUCAAUGAAAAACUUGCAGAAGCUCAAGGUGAAACUGCCAUGAAAGAGAUUGAAUCUAUUGUCAGAGCUAAACAGAAAGAAUUGACUGACAAUGUGAGCAGAGCUUUUGAAAGAGAAAGAAAAACAAAGAAUAAUGGCUGGAGCCGACUAUAACCCCAGUUUCUGAGCCCAGAGGGCAGCCACUUGAGAAGAGGCUGACCGCUUAAGCAUCUUUGGUGGCAGCAUGAGGACAGCAGCGGCAACCUGUUGCAUCUCCUGGUUUGCAGUUUGAAUGUUUGCAGUGACGGCAGAGACAUCAGCAUCACAGUCAUGGGUAUUCCCCAGAGCACAGCAUGGCAGAUGAUUUUGAAAAAGCCAAGGAACUUUUAACAAAGAUGAGAUACUUUUCAAACGUUGAAGAAAAGAUUAAGAUAAAGAAGAUUCCCCUCUAAUGGUUGCUAACUUUAAAGUUUUGAAAAUAAAG